GCGCAGCAGGCGAGAAAACUUCACAAUGUGCGAAAGCACGAUGAGGGAAUCCCAAGUGCUUGCACGUAAGUGUAAGCUGUUUCUCUGUCUAAAACGCAGAGAGAGUAAGGGCUGGGUAAGACGGGUGCCAGCCGCCGCGGUAAUACCUGCAGCUCGAGUGGUGACCGUUAUUAUUGGGCCUAAAACGUCCGUAGCCGGUUUAAUAAAUGCCUGGGUAAAUCGGACCGCUUAACGGUUCGAAUUCCGGGUAGACUGUUAAACUUGAGACCGGGAGAAGUUAGAGGUACUCCUGGGGUAGAGGUGAAAUUCUGUAAUCCUAGGGGGACCACCAGUGGCGAAGGCGUCUAACUAGAACGGGUCUGACGGUGAGGGACGAAGCCCUGGGGCGC
rnacentral:rRNA from 1 species